UUUACAAAUGUUCCAUCUUAAUAAUAACACACAAGUUUUUAAAGUCCAGAUCAAGGUAGACCCCACCAGUAAUAUGCAAGGACAGAAGGUGUAAGGUACGAGUGGCCACACCAGAUGUCUCCUCGGGCUGGAAAAGAAAAGGAAAAAUAUAAAUUUUUAAUUGUUUCCAGAAAUAUAUUUUUAGCUAACAAAUAUAAUUAAUUUGCCAAACAGAGACCAAAGACUGAAAAAAGGCAGCUCCUAUAGCUAAGACAACGUUCAUUCAUUUACUCGCUCUCGUGUUCAUUUUCUCUUCUUCUCUUUUUGUGUUCUUCUACUGUUACCUUCUUCUCGCUACUUUUUAACUCUCUUCAUCCGUCGUUGUUUUUUUACCGCUGCUGGUGGUAAAGACUUUGUUUUUACAGCUUUUCGGUUUUGCAAAAAUUGAUCGGAUAAAGUCAAGUCUUGUCGAUUGAGGUAAUUUUAGCUCCUUUUCUCUCGAUUUUACCCCUGGAUCACCUAUUUUUUUUUUUUUGGGGUUUUCUUAUGGUUUUGUCAGUUGAAUUAGGGAUUUUGUGUGAAUUUUCAGCUACUUUUUUCUUGUGCUAAAUUCUGUGCUGGGUAUCAUAGGGGUAUAGCUUUAUCUUUGCCUUCUUAUGCUUGAAGUAUCUGACUUUUUUGAAAACCGGAGCUAGUAGAACUCGACGCGUUUUUGUCUUGAUUACGAUUAAACCCCUCAUCUUUUUGGGACAAAAUUGUAAGAGGGGAAAAUUGAACUUUUUUACAGUUAGUUUUUUUUUUUUGGUUUCAUGUCUUCUCAAUAAAAUCAUUUCUCUUUCAGUUUAUAAGUCCUAUUAGUUUUUAGUUUAUGUGUGUGUGUGUAAUUUUGAUUCAGAUAUUUUAGGGUUCUCAAGGUCUUUCUGCAUGUAAUUCAAGCAGGUUCUUACUCCCUACCGUCAUUUUUGUCUGUCACUUUAGCCAAAAAUAUUGGGUCCAAAAUUUGUUGCUUUAGAAAACCAAGAAUGCAUUAACUUUUUUUCCCCCCCAAUUUUAUCCUUAGUAUUCCAAGAAAGCAUACAGUCACUAAUUACUCAUAUGGUAAUUCAGUCAAUACCCCUUAGAACUAAUGCUGUUAAAUAAUAAAUAGUUUUCCCAAAAUCUUAAAUGACUGAUAAAAUGGACAGGAGGUAGUAAUUGAAUUGUUAUCUUAAUUACUAAGUCAUUUAGCUAAUUUGAAGGCAUUGAAUGAACAGAGAGUUGAGGACCUUUUUUUAUUUAAAUAAUAUAUUUUACCUGUUAGUAAAGAGAGGAGGGAUUUCUUUUUGCUGUUUGUUUUCAUCAAGCUUCUGUAUUUGUGUUCAUUUUGAAACUAAUCUUUGUUUAGCUAUUCUUGUCCCUCUUUUUUUUUAUUGCAUUUUGAUGCAUGAAGCUGGGGGAGAGAAGAAUUUUCUUAAAAUGAGUUCUGAUUUUUGAUGUUUUUUUCACAGGGUUGCGAAG
rnacentral:lncRNA from 1 species